GGCUCGUUGGUCUAGGGGUAUCAUUCUCGCUUUGGGUGCGUGACGUCCUGGGUUCAAAUCCUGGAUGAGCCC